GGGCAAUCNUGAGCCAAAUCCUGUUUUCCGAAACCAAAGUAAAGGUUCAGAAAGUAAAAAAAAGGAUAGGUGCAGAGACUCAAUGGAAGCUGUUCUAACAAAUGGAGUUGGCUAUGUUAGUAGAGAAAUCUUUCCAUCGAAAUUCAGAAAGGAUAAAGUGAAGGAUAAACGUAUAUAUAUACGUAUUGAAUACUAUAUCAAUCAAAUGAUUAAUGACGACCCGACUUAAUCUGUAUUUUUUUAUAUGAAAACGGAAGAAUUGGUGUGAAUAGAUUCCACAUUGAAGAAAGAAUCGAAUAUUCAUUGANCAACUGAUUCACUCCAUAGUCUGAUAGAUCUUUUCAAGAACUGAUUUAUCGGACGAGAAUAAAGAUAGAGUCCCGCUCUACGUGUCAAUGUCGGCAACAAUGAAAUUUAUAGUUAGAGGGAAAUCNNNNNNNNNNNNNNNNNNNNNNNNNNNAAGUCCCUCUAUCCCCAAAAAGUAUAUUUGACUCCCCAACUAUUUAUCCUAUCCCUCUUUUCGUUAACGGUUCAAAAUCCCUUAUUCAUUCACUCUAUUCUCUUAGAAAUUGAUCUGGGCGGAAAUGCCCUUUUCUUAUCACAAGUCUUGUGUUAUAUAUCAUAUACAUAGAAAUGAACAUCUUUAUCUUUGAGCAAGAAAUCCCCAUUUGAAUGAUUUACAAUCGAUAUAACUAUUCAGACUGAAACUUACAAAGUACUCUUGGUUAAGAUCCAAGAGAUUCCAGUACCUAGAUAAAACUUUGUAAUCCCCUUUCCUUCUUUUAAUUGACAUAGACCCCAUUUUCUAAUAAAAUGAGGAGGCUACAUUGGGACUGGUCGGGAUAGCUCAGUUGGUAG
rnacentral:misc_RNA from 1 species